UACGUAGGGUGCGAGCGUUAAUCGGAAUUACUGGGCGUAAAGCGUGCGCAGGCGGUUCGUUAAGUCAGAUGUGAAAGCCCCGGGCUCAACCUGGGAACUGCAUUUGAAACUGGCGGGCUUGAGUGUGGCAGAGGGGGGUGGAAUUCCGCGUGUAGCAGUGAAAUGCGUAGAGAUGUGGAGGAACACCGAUGGCGAAGGCAGCCCCCUGGGUCAAGAUUGACGCUCAUGCACGAAAGCGUGGGGAGCAAACAGG
rnacentral:rRNA from 1 species